ensembl:lncRNA
UAUUAUUCCAUUGUAGGCCUGCGGCUCAUGUACACGAGCACAUGGUAAAUUGUCGCGUGCUGCUUAGGCGCCCAGAGUGGCUCGCUUUUGGGUGUGCUGGCAGCAUAUGGCAGCAUAUAGCAGCACCUUCGACUGUGCGUCAAGAAUUCAGGACAGCAAGUUUGUAUGAAGGUCUGGUUAUAAAGGGGUAAUUAGUUUAAUCCAUUCUCCAUUUCAUGAAUUUAUUCACAGGUAUACAGUAAUAUGCUCUAUAACGCUCUGGUGACAAACAAACUUUGCUGCCUUGUUUCCAAUCAUCAACAUGGCUGGGAGAACCUAUUCAAGCGAGGCCUCUGAGCUGACGAGGCCUCUGAGCUGGAGGGAGUGAGGACACUGCAGAGCUACGAGAAGGAGAUCCACCAGUUCUGUGUGGGAAAGAAAGCUGUGGUCAUUGGAGCCUCCUUCAUAGGUUAACCAUAAAGAGAUAAUUUCAUACUGUACACUGCGGAGAAGUCCUAUUUUUUAUUUUAUUUUAUUUUUUAUAAAUGUAAAUAGUAAAUAGUUUAUAUACUAUAAUUUGUGACUUGGUUGUUUACAGUGAGGUAAGGUUGUUGAAUUUGAUAAGUAAGACUUUCAUUUGAUUUGUGUGCCUCAAAACCAAGUUUUCCCUCCUCCAUUUUUAAGUCAUAAAUAUGGAGUGGCAUCCUACUUGGCAGACAAAGCUGCCAGUGUGGUGAUGGUUGGUAACUGCUCAUAUCCCUUUGAGAGGUGCCUGGGCCCAGAGAUUGGGAAGAUGACAAUGCAGGCCUGAGACAAUGGUUAUCAUACGUAAUGUACUCUACCUGAUACAACACCCACCACUAGGCUACAAAUGUUUAUGUAUAUGUAAAUCCCAAGUUUUGAUAGUACAAAUAUCAACAUGAGUGUGUGUUUCUCUUCUGUCAAAAAUGUUGGAGGAGAGCAAAAAUCAAGUUCUACAUGAAUGACAGAGUGGUGGAGAUCAGAGGGGAGAAUGGUAAGGUGAAAGAGGUUGUUCUGAGCAGCGGUGCAGUUGUGGAAAUGGAUUUGGUGAUAGCAGGGAUUGUUCAUGAGGACCAACAUUUCAGAUGUUUUUGGAGACAUGGAGACAUGACAUCCUUUCCUCCCACCAUACCUAAAUACCAGAGGAUCAACAUCGGACAUUGGCAGCUGGCAUCACAGACCUGAGCCCUAGGACCAUGCCCCAGGACUACCUGACAUGAUGACUCCUUGCUGUCCCCAGUCCACCUGGCCGUGCUGCUGCUCCAGUUUCAACUGUUCUGCCUUAUUAUUAUACGACCAUGCUGGUCAUUUAUGAACAUUUGAACAUCUUGGCCAUGUUCUGUUAUAAUCUCCACCCGGCACAGCCAGAAGAGGACUGGCCACCCCACAUAGCCUGGUUCCUCUCUAGGUUUCUUCCUAGGUUUUGGCCUUUCUAGGGAGUUUUUCCUAGCCACCGUGCUUCUACACCUGCAUUGCUUGCUGUUUGGGGUUUUAGGCUGGGUUUCUGUACAGCACUUUGAGAUAUCAGCUGAUGUACGAAGGGCUAUAUAAAUAAAUUUGAUUUGAAUUUGAUUUGAAAUAGUGACAUGAGGAAUAAAUGCCCAGUGAAUAAUGAAUAGAAAUAAAGAGUAAAAACUACAAGGAUAUAUAUAGGGAGGACAAAAUAACAUGGCUAUAUACAGGGAGUACCAGUACCUAGUCGAUGUGCAGGGGUACGUAAAUUGAGGUAGCUAAGUAUUCAGACCCCUUGACUUUUUCCACAUUUUGUUACGUUACAGCCUUAUUCUAAAAUGUAAUAAAUAUUUUUUCCCCCCUCAUCAAUCUACACACAAUACCCCAUGAUGAAAAAGCAAAAACAGUUUUUUAGAUUUGUUUUCUCAUAAAAAAAACAACAACACUGAAAUAUGUAUUCAGUCUCUUUACUCGGUACUUUGUUGAAGCACCUUUGGCAGAGAUUACAGCAUUGAUUCUCCUUGGGUAUGAUGCAACAAGCUUGGCACACCUGUAUUUGGAGAGUUUCUCCCAUUCUUCUCUGCAGGUCCUCUCAAGCUCUGUCAGGUUGUCUGAGGAGCGUCGCUGCACAGCCAUUUUAAGGUCUAUCCAGAGAUGUUUGAUCGGGUUUAAGUCUGGGCUCUGGCUGUGCCACUCAAGGACAUUCAGUGACUUGUCCCGAAGCCAUUCCUGCGUUGUCUUGGUUGUGUGCUGAGGGUCGUUGUGAUGUUGUAAGGUGAACCUUCGACACAUUCUGAGGUCCUGAGUACUCUGGAGCAGGUUUUCAUCAAGGAUCUCUGUACUUUGCUCUGUUCAUAUUUCCCUCAAUCCUGACUAUUCUCCUAGUCCCUGCCGCUGAAAAACAUCUCCACAGCAUGAUGCUGCCACCACCAUGCUUCACCAUAGGGAUGGUGCCAGGUGUCCUCCAGAUGUGACGCUUGGCAUCCAGGCCAAAUAAUUUAAUCUUGGUUUCAUCAGACCAGAGAAUCUUGUUUCUCAUGGUCUGAGAGUCCUUUAGGCGCCUUUUGGCAAACUCCAAGCUGGCUGUCAUGUGCCUUUUACUAUGGAGUAGCUUCCGUCUGGCCACUCUACCAUAAAGGCCUGAUUGGUGGAGUGCUGCAGAGAUGGUUGUCAUUCUGGAAGGUUCUCCCAUCUUCACAGAGGAACUCUGGAGCUCUUUCAGAGAGACCAUCACGGUCUUGGUCACCUCACUGACCAAAGCCCUUCUCCACCCAUUUGCUCAGUUUGGCAGGGCGGCC